rnacentral:rRNA from 1 species
GUAGGUGGCAAGCGUUGUCCGGAAUUAUUGGGCGUAAAGCGCGCGCAGGCGGUUCUUUAAGUCUGAUGUGAAAGCCCGCGGCUCAACCGUGGAGGGUCAUUGGAAACUGGAGAACUUGAGUACAGAAGAGGAAAGCGGAAUUCCACGUGUAGCGGUGAAAUGCGUAGAGAUGUGGAGGAACACCAGUGGCGAAGGCGGCUUUCUGGUCUGUAACUGACGCUGAGGCGCGAAAGCGUGGGGAGCAAACAGGGAUUAGAUACCCUGGUAGUCCACGCCGUAAACGAUGAGUGCUAAGUGUUAGGGGGUUUCCGCCCCCUUAGUGCUGCAGCUAACGCAUUAAGCACUCCGCCUGGGGAUACGGCCGCAAGGCUG